AUGCUUACCUGGCGUAGGAGACACCGUAAGCAUGAAGGGGCUUCCUGUAGGGUGAUGCUCCCCCAGUGCACUAAGACGAGCUAACCUCUGGGAUUACUCCAUCGGCGAGUAACUCGGGCACAUAAUUUUUGGUAGUCGGAGUGUGUUUGCGCUAGCCCGGU